GGGGAGGUGCCGGAGUGGACGAUCGGAGCCGCCUGCUAAGCGGUUGUUCGCCUAAUAAGUGGACCCAGGGUUCGAAUCCCUGCCUCCCCG
rnacentral:tRNA from 1 species